AUUCCAGGUGGAUUUUAGAGCAGGAUGUUCCCAGCUCCAAAUUCCAGGUGGAUUUUAGAGCAGGAUGUUCCCAGCUCCAAAUUCCAGGUGGAUGUUGGACAGGAUUUCAGCCCAGCUCCACAAUCAGGUGGAUGUUGGACAGGAUUUCAGCCCAGCUCCAAAUUCCAGGUUUAUUUUAGAGCAGGAUGUUCCCAGCUCCACAAUCAGGUGGAUGUUGGACAGGAUUUCAGCCCAGCUUCAAAUUCCAGGUGGAUGUUGGACAGGAUUUCAGCCCAGCUCCAAAUUCCAGGUUUAUUUUAGAGCAGGAUGUUCCCAGCUCCAAAUUCCAGGUGUUUGUUGGAGCAGGAUUUCAGCCCAGCUCCAAAUUCCAGGUGGAUGUUGGACAGGAUUUCAACCCAGCUCCAAAUUCCAGGUGGAUGUUGGACAGGAUUUCAGCCCAGCUUUAAAUUCCAGGUGGAUGUUGGAGCAGGAUGGUCCCAGCUCCACAAUCA
rnacentral:lncRNA from 1 species